CCUGGCGGCGAUAGCGCGGUGGUCCCACCUGACCCCAUGCCGUAGCGCCGAUGGUAGUGUGGGGUCUCCCCAUGUGAGAGUAGGGAACUGCCAGGC
rnacentral:rRNA from 1 species